AAGGAUUGUAAUGAAAGGGUUGGUUAAUUUUCGUCCCUUAACUUUUUUGGAGGCAUUUAAAUUGUGGUACCUCAGGGAUAUAUUUUAGAGCUGUAGUUGGAAAUUUAUUAUGAGAUGGUGAGGUUGGUAUGUGGAAUUGGGACUUACUGGGAUUGAGGUAUUUGGAAUAGAUGAAUUGUUUGAGAAAGAGGUAGUAGAAGGGGAGGAGAGAGAGAGAGAAGAGAAGGAAGAAGAGGAAAGAGAAUUGGGUAGAGGACUGGGAACGGUCUUUUCAAGAUUGUGGUAUUUUAAUCGCAUAAGAAGGAGGGAAGAUAAGAAAAAAACUUACUUGAUAAAUAGACCAAUAUCUUUGAUGUCAGUUAUCUCCCACUGUCCCUCACCCUCUCAACCCCACCAAAGACCGACAAAUACCAUCAUAAAAACUAAAAAAGAUUUUAAGAGAGAUUAAGGAAAUAAUCCCACUUAUAAUUGCUUCAAAAAGAAUAAAAUACCUAGGAAUAAAUUUAAUCAAAAAGAUGAAAGACCUGUACUCUAUAAAAACUGUAGUACAUUGAUGGAAGUAAAGAUAACACAAGACUUAAAUGUGAGACCUGAAACCAUAUAGCUCCCAGAAUUGUUAUGUUGAAGC